CAUUCCAUGAAGAGCAUUUUACUUCUCUUAUUAAAAAAAAAAGGAAUGAAAAGUUUCUAAAGAACAUUGAAAAGAUUUUCUAUUUAGGCUUGGAGUAGACCAUCAAAAGACGGGAGGCGUGAAGCCUUUACUUGGGCCCAAUUUUUCUAGACCCAGAUCCUGUUGUAUAUUGGUGAACCCGACCCGCUUCGCCGUCGCGGCCAAAAGCGUCCGAGGGGAGAAGAAGAAAUGCUCCGGGUGUCAUCCGAGGAAGGCAGCCGCCCGGCGGGAGAACUCCGUCGACAUCUACCGCCAACUCGGCCGAUCUCUUCACGAUCUCCAGCAAGCUUCCGAUCGAAUCGUUGACGGCAUUUCUGAAAAAACUCCAAAAGAGAAGCAGAAGCUAGCACAGGAUUCAGACAGCAAAGGCCAAGGUUGAUGCUAUAUCUCGUUCCAGGCAACCGCUCAUUGUUAAGCCUCCAUCAAGGUAUCCGUCAGGUUGUAUUACUGAAGAGGACUUCUCCCCAUUAUUUCAUUAUAAGGAUGAAAGGGUUGGAGACAGGUUUCUAACAAAAGUUUCCGUGGAUGGAGGGUUGAAUAGAGUAUGAAUUUGGACAGGAUGCAACACUGGAGCUUUAUCAAUUCUUCUCCGAAGAAAAUAUUAAAUGCCCAUCAAAGGGACAACAACCAAAGGCGAAAACAGGUUUGGAUGUCAAUACAUUUUUAGAGGAUCUUCUUGAAGCACCAAAGUUUGGGAGGAGCAGCUUACUAUAGAAGAAUAUAGAUGCCCGGGAUGUUCCGCUGGAUCCUAAGAAGCAAAGGCUGCCACCUGUGCCUCCUAGUUUGCUUCUGCAUAAUAUUCCAUCGCUUCGAAAAUCAGAAGAUUCUCAGUCAGCAGCUAGUGCUAAGCCACCGCAUGAUAUGAAGCUCUCAGAUACUCUACCUGAACUUUAACCAUCCGAAGAAGGAACAACCGUGCUGAUCCAAUGUCUUCUAUCAUCACUGGCCUGAUUGACAGUGCCAUGGACUGCGUGCCGAGGGGCGCCGCGGCACGAAGCCCCGUUGUGCGCUCGGUGAUGCGGCGGUUCGAGAGAGCGUGGUAUCGUACCUCGCAAUGCAGCAGAAUCUGUCGAUGGUGCUCGACGGAAUUCUGCAGAUGUCCUACCGGAGUUGUGUGGAAGGGCUCGGGGUAUAUAAGAAGGCGUCCGAGCAAGCAGUCAGGCUUGGCGAGUUUUAUCAGUGGUGUAGAGAGAUGGGGUAUUGCGCGCCAUACGAGUAUCCUUUUGUCGAGAAGAUACCUGCGAUUCAGGUCGUUAUGCUCGAGGCUUUCGUCGAGCAAAUGUGGCGGACGACGGAGGACGAGGACGAGGCUUCGUCGGAGACGAUGGUUGAAGAGAGAGGGAGAGAUAUGCAGGUUGUGGUUUCUUUUGAGUGGGAGAAAUUUGAAGAAGAAGAAGUGGUGAAGCCAUUGAUUGAGGUUGAAGAUGAUGAUAGAAGUUGGGAGGUUGAGCUUGAAGAUUCAGUUAAGCUAAUUUGGAACAGAGAAGUGGGUGAGAAAAUGAGAGAUGAAAAAAGUUUGCAGCUGUUCAGUCCUGAUUUGUUCAAUCCUUUCUUUUGGUAAUUAAUGUGAUUAUGAUUAAUUUUUUUGUUAUUCAAAAAUUACGUUCCAUUAGAGGAACUAACUUUAUUCGAAAUUCUUGAGUAGAAAUAUAUACUUUUCAUUAUCAUGGUUCGUGUUGGACCAUCAAAAA